GAUGAAGAACGUAGCGAAAUGCGAUAAGUAAUGUGAAUUGCAGAAUUCAGUGAAUCAUCGAAUCUUUGAACGCACAUUGCGCCCGCCAGUAUUCUGGCGGGCAUGCCUGUUCGAGCGUCAUUUCAACCCUCAAGACCCCUUCGGGGGACUUGGUGUUGGGGACCGGCACAGGGGCCUGCCUGCUUGUCUUGCAGCGCCCUCGCCGCCCCCGAAAUGAAUUGGCGGCCUCGUCGCGGCCUCCCCUGCGUAGUAGCACAAACCUCGCAACGGGAACGUGACGGCGGCCACUGCCGUAAAACAACCCAAUUUUAUUAGAGUUGACCUCGAAUCAGGUAGGAAUACCCGCUGAACUUAAGAAUAUCAAUAAGCGGAGGA
rnacentral:misc_RNA from 1 species